AGGGUGAGAAUCCCGUAUGGGACCGGUGACCGAUCCCAUGUGAAACCCCUUCGACGAGUCGAGUUGUUUGGGAAUGCAGCUCAAAAUGGGUGGUAAAUUUCAUCUAAAGCUAAAUACUGGCUGGAGACCGAUAGCGCACAAGUAGAGUGAUCGAAAGAUGAAAAGCACUUUGGAAAGAGAGUCAAAAAGUACGUGAAAUUGUUGAAAGGGAAGCGCUUGCAACCAGACCUGUCCGCAGGUGAUCAGCCGCCGAUUCUCGGCGGUGCACUCGCCUGCGAUCAGGCCAGCAUCGGUUCGGGCGGUCGGAUAAAGGCCUUGGGAAUGUAGCUCCUCUCGGGGAGUCUUAUAGCCCUCGGUGCAAUGCGGCCAGCUCGGACCGAGGACCGCGCUUCGGCUAGGAUGCUGGCGUAAUGGUUGUAAGCGACCCGUCUUGAAACACGGACCAAGGAGUCUAACCUCUAUGCGAGUGUUUGGGUGUCAAACCCAUACGCGGAAUGAAAGUGAACGGAGGUGAGAACCCUUUAGGGCGCAUCAUCGACCGAUCCAGAUGUCUUCGGAUGGAUUUGAGUAUGAGCAUGGCUGUUGGGACCCGAAAGAUGGUGAACUAUGCCUGAAUAGGGUGAAGCCAGAGGAAACUCUGGUGGAGGCUCGCAGCGGU
rnacentral:rRNA from 1 species